rnacentral:rRNA from 1 species
UACGAAGGGGGGCUAGCGUUGCUCGGAAUGACUGGGCGUAAAGGGCGCGUAGGCGGUUUGGACAGUCAGGCGUGAAAUUCCUGGGCUUAACCUGGGGGCUGCGCUUAAUACAUCCAGACUUGAGUGGGGAAGAGGGUCGUGGAAUUCCCAGUGUAGAGGUGAAAUUCGUAGAUAUUGGGAAGAACACCGGUGGCGAAGGCGGCGACCUGGUCCUUUACUGACGCUGAGGCGCGAAAGCGUGGGGAGCAAACAGG